AUUGAACGCUGGCGGCGGGCUUAACACAUGCAAGUCGAGCGGGGCGGCGAACGGGUGAGUAAUGCCUAGGAAUCUGCAUGCUUGAGGGAGAUACCGUCCGGAAACGGGCGCUAAUGCAGCAUCCUAUCAGAUGCGACUAGGUAGGAUUAGCGAGUUGGUGGGGUAAAGGCCUACCAAGGCGACGAUCCGUAACUGGUCUGAGAGGAGGAUCAGGCACACUGUAACGGAGACACGGUCCAGACUUCUACGGGGGGCAGCAGUGGGGAAUAUGAGACAAUGGGGCAAAGUCGGAUCCAGCCAUGCCGCGUGUGUGAAGAAGGACUUCGGAUUGUAAAGCACUUUAGGUUGGGAGGCGGUACCAACAGAAUAAGCACCGGCUAACUACGUGCCAGCAGCCGCGGUAAUAC
rnacentral:rRNA from 1 species